rnacentral:rRNA from 1 species
UACGAAGGGGACUAGCGUUGUUCGGAAUCACUGGGCGAAAGCGCACGUAGGCGGAUUUGUAAGUCAGGGGUGAAAUCCCGGGGCUCAACCUCGGAACUGCCUUUGAUACUGCGAAUCUUGAGUCCGAUAGAGGUGGGUGGAAUUCCUAGUGUAGAGGUGAAAUUCGUAGAUAUUAGGAAGAACACCGGUGGCGAAGGCGGCCCACUGGAUCGGUACUGACGCUGAGGUGCGAAAGCGUGGGGGAGCAAACAGG